UUCAACUCCCCUUAUGGAACCGGGUUCUUUGCUGAGUAUGCUGAGAAGAUCCCAGGAGAGUCCACACGGGUGUUGUCGGAGGCAGCCAGGGAUUGUGGGGUCUAUUUAGUGGGCGGUUCCAUUCCUGAGAAGGAUGGAGGAAAGCUCUAUAACACCUGCUCAGUUUUUGGACCUGAUGGAAAGCCGCCUGUCAAACACAGGAAAGGGUGAAGUUGACAAAAGCUGGGUCAGAGGAGGCUUCUGUAUAUGCUGACAUAGUUGCAGGUCUUUCGUUUAGCUGAUUGUAUGGAAAAAGGAGGAUAAUCAAUACAAGAAAAGCUUAAACCAAUGGUUUUGAAUGAAGUUUGCACCAUCUCAAGCUGAUUCAUCCUCUGAAAUGAAACUGUGAAUCACUUCCAGUCAAUCACAGUUAAUAAGCAAGCAUUAUGAAAGUUAGCAGAAUUAACCCAGUAUUUCCAAACCAUGUUACACAUCAGUCUCAGGACAGGAAGCCCAUUGCUCCACAUCGAACAAGAUCAUGUCAGAGCCCUCGCAACAUGAAUCAUCUGCAACACAAAGGAAUGAU